rnacentral:lncRNA from 1 species
AGAGAUCAAACCUGGAGAUAAAAGAUUUUGAAACUAUCAGAAUUUCAAUGGUACCUGAAUCCAUCAGACCAAAUGAACCUAAGAGAAUGAAAGGAUAACAAGGAACAAGUACAGAAUCCACAGAAAUACUAAUAUUUACAAACAGAAAUAGACUGUUAAAACCAAGAAGGAACUUUCUGAGUUUAUUUCACAAAUUAAGAAAAGCUCAAUAUUAGAAAGUCUACUAAUACAAUUCAUCAUAUUCAGAGUCCUGAGGAGAAAAAUCCUUUAAUUGUCCACAUAGGCAUUAAGAAGAUAAGUCUUAGAAACAGAUUCCAGGUUCUGAUUUCUGCAUGUAAGAAGCUUAGAAGUAGCCAGGUGCAGUGGCUCAUGCCUGUAAUCCCAGCACUUUGGGAGACCGAGGUGGGCAGAUCACCUGAAGUCAGAAGUUCAAGACCAACCUGGUCAACAUGGCAAAACCCUGUCUCUACUAAAAAUACAAAAAUUAGGCUGGGCAUGGAGGCUCACACCUGUAACCCCAGCACUUCGGGAGCUUGAGGUGGGUGGAUCACAUGAAGUCAGGAGUUUCAGACCAACCUGGCCCACAUGGCAAAACCCCAUCUCUACUAAAAAUACAAAUAUUAGCGAAGUGUGGUGGUGUGUGCCAGUAGUACCAGCUACUUGGGAGGCUGAAGCAGAAGAAUUGCUUGAACCUGGGAGGUGGAGGUUGCAGUGAGCCAAGAUCAUGCCACUGCACUACAGCCUGGAUGACAGAGUGAGCUCUGCCUCAAAAAAUUAAAAAAUAAAAUAAUAAUAAUACAAAAAUUAGCCAGCAUGGUGGUGGGUGCCUGUAAUCUCAGCUACUCAGGAGGUUGAGGCAGGGAGAAUCACUUGAACCUGGGAGCCAGAUGUUAAGGUGAGCUGAGAUUGCACCACUGCACUCCAGCCUGAGCAACAAAGUGAGAGUCCAUCUCAAAAAAAGGAAGAAAAAAAAAAAGAAUGGAAGUAAUCAGUCCACCUUAACAACACAUGAAAAGCUGAAAAGGUCAGGUGUGGUGGCUCAUGCCUGUAAUCCCAGCACUUUGGGAGGCCAAAGCAGGAGGAUCCCUUGAGUCCAGGAGUUUGAGACCAGCCUGUGCAACAUAGUGAGACCCCCAACUCUAAAAAAAAAAUUUAAAUAAAACAAAAGCUGAAGAGACUGAAAAAUCAACAAUCCUUUUUGGAUUUGAAUGUGAAGAGAGGACAUAGGGCAAACCACUGCCCCCAAGAUUGGAGAGAUAGAGAAGUGAAUAUGGGAAUUUAUGGCUUACAGGAACAGAGACUCACUACUGAAACCACCUUAGGAACCAGUGCUGGAGUAGAAAAUCUUGAACUAUAACUGGUGAAUUGCUGAAGGUUCCAUAUGGACAACUCAAGGAGGUAAAAACACCAGGGAGAUCCAGUUAUGAGGGAGCAUAAUAUUGUAAAAUUUACCUCCUGGAGCUCCACCAG